rnacentral:lncRNA from 1 species
UUUUUUUUUUGAUAAUGCCCCAGUUGGCUGUUCUGCUGAUUCUCGAGAUGCAGCUGAGUGACCUUCUUUUCUUGCUCAAGAAGUCGGGAAAUCUCGUCAGGAAUUCCUUUCAACAUCAUCUUCUUCCGCUUCGAAUACAGGGAAUUCAAAAUUGGGAGAUGACGUCCGAUCAUUAUGUUCAAUGGGUUUGAGAAACAACCUGCAUAAAGGUUUUGAUAUGAAAAGCUCUUUGAAAAUCAAACAAGACAAUCGUUAUGCAGAUGAAAAGAUUGCUUUUAUUCUCGUUUUUUAAGGUUUUUUGUGAUCACCAAUUUCAUGCAAAAAGCGAAAAGGGAAAACAAUUGGAAAAACAAAUGUUUAACAUGAAUUAUUUGAAUGAAAAUAUCAUUG